rnacentral:rRNA from 1 species
UCCUACGGGAGGCAGCAGUAGGGAAUCUUCCGCAAUGGACGAAAGUCUGACGGAGCAACGCCGCGUGAGUGAUGAAGGCUUUCGGGUCGUAAAACUCUGUUGUUAGGGAAGAACAAGUGCUAGUUGAAUAAGCUGGCACCUUGACGGUACCUAACCAGAAAGCCACGGCUAACUACGUGCCAGCAGCCGCGAUAAUACGUAGGUGGCAAGCGUUAUCCGGAAUUAUUGGGCGUAAAGCGCGCGCAGGUGGUUUCUUAAGUCUGAUGUGAAAGCCCACGGCUCAACCGUGGAGGGUCAUUGGAAACUGGGAGACUUGAGUGCAGAAGAGGAAAGUGGAAUUCCAUGUGUAGCGGUGAAAUGCGUAGAGAUAUGGAGGAACACCAGUGGCGAGGGCGACUUUCUGGUCUGUAACUGACACUGAGGCGCGAAAGCGUGGGGAGCAAACAGGAUUAGAUACCCUGGUAGUCCACGCCGUAAACGAUGAGUGCUAAGUGUUAGAGGGUUUCCGCCCUUUAGUGCUGAAGUUAACGCAUUAAGCACUCCGCCUGGGGAGUACGGCCGCAAGGCUGAAACUCAAAGGAAUUGACGGA